rnacentral:rRNA from 1 species
UGAGGAAUAUUGGUCAAUGGGCGGGAGCCUGAACCAGCCAAGCCGCGUGAGGGAGGAAGGCCCUAUGGGUCGUAAACCUCUUUUGUCAGGGAACAAAAGCCGAUAUGUAUAUUGGUCUGAGCGUACCUGCAGAAAAAGCAUCGGCUAACUCCUGCCCAGCAGCCGCGGUAAUACGGAGGAUGCGAGCGUUAUCCGGAUUUAUUGGGUUUAAAGGGUGGGUAGGCGGCGAUGCAAGUCAGCGGUAAAAGCCCGGGGCUCAACCCCGGCGAGCCGUUGAAACUGCAGUGCUAGAGAAGGCGAGAGGUACGCGGAAUGCGCAGUGUAGCGGUGAAAUGCUUAGAUAUUGCGCAGAACUCCGAUUGCGAAGGCAGCGUACUGGCGCCUGACUGGCGCUGAGGCACGAAAGCGUGGGGAUCGAACAGG